GUACUUGCUUCAGCAGCACAUACAUUAUAACCGGAGCAGGACAUACGCUAAAACCGGAGCAAUACAGAGAAGAUUAGCAUGGCCCUCACCCAAAGAUGACACGCAAAUUUGUGAAGUAUUCCUUUUAUUU
rnacentral:snRNA from 1 species